CAGCUUGAAGAUGACGACAUCAUCUCCUACAUUACAUCAUCACUGGUCUUGACUCGGAUUUCAAUCCGUUUGUUGAGGCUACCAGCGCUGGGACUGAUCCGAUCACCUUGAGUGAUCUCUACGUGCAACUUCUCACAACCGAGG